GACCACCUGCAGACGCUGCCGGCGACUGCCCGCUGGCACCACCAACAGUGUCGGUGGAGUCUUUUUGCAGGGGGUACACCACCACGUGCACCCCUGCUGUUUACACACGCGUUUAAGCAGUAUAAUUUACUUUGCCACUGGAUACUACUUGCAUCUGACGGGACUAUCCCGCAGCGCAGUAAAUUAGUCUACCGUAUCCUAUUUGCCAUGCACAUGUAGAUGGUGAUGUUUUACUGUGCAGCUAAUUAGUCUGCUCCACAGUAAAGCGUCUCAUGUGGACACACAUUCUACGUGCUAGUUGGGUUAGUCCCCAAGCUGGCCUGCUACCAGGACCCUCAAGGUAUGAGUCUUCCUGCCCCUCCACACCAAUCCUUCUGCAUUUGGGACUCUUUGGAGCAGGAUUUCAUUGAGCCUACUCUGAAUCUAAACUUCUGUUUAGUAACUGGUCAUAUUCUAGUGACAUCUACAUAUGAAGAUUCAGUCUGCAGCUCUUUGUAUAUGAGCUACUCUCAUGUGGUCUGUUUGUUUAGGGACUUGGUUUUAUAAAACACCUGUGCACACAGGGUAUAAGAAUUCACUGUAAAGCAAGCUGUCUUACAGAAUAGGAGUACAGUGUGGAGGCAAUACACUUACAGCAAUGGUAAGUCUUUUUUCUUGUGUGAGAUAUUUAUUUCUAUUUUAAAAGUAUGAUAUAAUUGGAUUAUCCUAUUAGAUGCUUUCCAAUGUCUAUAGAAUGGGUAUCUUCCUAGAAAUGAUCACUUAGGGAUGUUUGCUAUGAAAGAGGUUACUGGCAUUACCAUUGUCUCAUUUCCUGAGAAUUUUUAUUUAACACUGAAGGAUUAAAUUUCCUUUGUCCAUAAACAGAUUGUUGCAAAUACUGUAUUAAUGUUCCAUUGCUGGUUUCCAAAGUUUGCUUUCUUUUGUUUAUGCUUUCUGCCCUGGAGACUGAAUUCCCAUCAAUAGUACUGAGCCCCAGUAAAAGUCUGGCCUUCUGUUUCUGCAGAACUGGAGAAAUUUUAGAAGACAUGAACUAGAACUACUUAAUUUUUUUCAAAUGUAAAAAUAGUGUUUUCUUGACACUUUGUAAGAGAUUUUUAAAUCUUUUUAGUUUUUUAUCAUAACUUUUUGGGAAGUAUUUUCUUUAUUCUGGUACUUAAUUAAUGAAAGCCUUGAUAAUGUUUUCUGUUAAUUUUUCCCCUUCCAAAUAACUCUAAAAUGGGACUAUUCCUACAAAUCCGAAAGUAAUUUGAAACUUUUAGUGAAUUUCUUAUUCUUAAAUCACAACUAUUAAUUCAUCAGCCUUAACAUACCCUGCUAUUACAGCAUUUAGCUUUGCCAAGCCACAUAGGGUAAUGAUCCUCAACCAAGGUGCCACAGCAUCCUGGGGUGCCUUGAGAUCUUUUCAAAGGUGCUUCAGGAUUCCACACAAUGUUAGCACUGUUAGGUGUGCAAACAUAAUUCACAAGAUAAACCCAUAGAUUUCAAAUAGAAAUCCAUAGCUAUGAUCUUUCUGAGUUCCUUGCAACAGAAAAACUGCUCUAUUUUCUGUAGGAAAAAAAAAAAAAUAUGGCGAAACCUAGAGCUAGCAUUUUCCAAGGGAUGCCUCAAGUCUCCAAAUGUUGAGAAUCGCUGAUAUAGAGGAACCAUAUUUUUUAAAAGUUUCACCACACCCUUACUCUUGUGCAGCAAUUAUUCUGAAACCCAGAUAAAUUAACUUACUGUGGUUCAAUAGAUUUUAAUGCCAAUGGUUCCUUUAUAAGAUGUCAUGCUCUUUUAAAUUUAUUUGCAUAUUAUUUAACUUACUUUAAAAUUAAAUGCAAAGUGCCCUCAUUUCUUCUAGAGUAGCUGGGUUACCUUGUUAAAAAAUACCUUCCCAAAUUCUCUGUGGUCCCAUGAGGGUGGGAAUUUCCAUUGAACAAUGCCAUGGAUAUAGUAUUGUGGGACUGGAAAAAAGGAGCACAUGAUCAGUGUGAUGAAACUUUUUCUUCUAAUUAUGAUCAAUUAUUUGGGAAACCAGUCCAACAAGGUGAAGACCUCUGGUACACACCAUUACAGGUGUUAGAAUCUAAGCCUGAACUCUGUUUUCAUUUACAGCCAUGAAACCCCACAAGUUACAGAUGGCAGAGGGCAGAAUUAAGCAGUCUCUUGGCAAGUGAAGUUUUUGUGAGUUAGGUGAAGGAAGAUUGGUUUAUAACAAAUGGCUUGAUGGCCUGAUUCAGUUUCACUAUACCAGUAGCAUAACAAUGAAGGGAGGGAGAGAGAGGCCAUGAAAAGAAUGGCAGCUGUGCCACCACCCGGCCAGCAGCUGUGCCACCACCGGGCCAGCAGCAGCUCAGACACUGAUGCUGCCCUGUGUGCAGCUGAGUCCCAGAGUGCUCAAGUGCCCAGUUAUGCCUCUGCUCUGUAACUACGUACUUAAAUAUCAUGAGUCUGUGCAUGGCAGAGGACGUCACAGCUGGGAAUCCAUUUGGGAUAAUACCAAGUGUCACUUCUAAUGGGACUAUAUAUUUCUUUUUUUUUUAAUUUCUUAUUAAGGAAAAUGGAAAGUCAUACACUAAUAUUUUAAUACUCUUUGGAACAGUUCCCUUUUUUUCAGUGCUAACAAAGAUAUUUUCUGACCAUUUUAAUUCAAAUGCCAUCUAAAUUUUGCUAUGGGCCUGGUCUUCUCUUACAGAAGAGCUUCCUGGGUUUCCUCUUUGCCACUGGCAUCUUGGUAAUACUAUGUGAUACAUAUUGCUUUUUUCAAGCAAAUGACCCAGCAAUAUCUACUGAAGGUUGUGUUCAAGAUGGAAAGAUACACAAGUUUGGUACCAACUGGAGAACAGAGGAUUGCCACAGAUGUAACUGCAGCUGGCAUGGAUUAAGUUGUUGCUCCAUUUUUAUUGAACCAGGGGAUUAUGACAGAGAGACAUGUGUGAGCAUUUUUAAUAAAAACACCUGUCGCUACACUGUGGUGGAGAAGGCCAACCCCUCAAAAACCUGUGUGGUCUAUUCUUGGGUGGGCUAACAGGCUACCUGCUCACAUUUUUCUCUGCCUAGUGAGUCUCCUUCCCCUUCUAGAGAUGAUCAGCCAUGGAAGAAUCCCUUCUUCAAUCAGAGAUUUACGGAGGAAUUUUGAGCUUUGUUACUAGCAUGUUAUGACUAGUGCAGUCUGUUCUGAGAGAAUGCACUGCACUGCUUCUGUGUGGUUUCUGCUGUUACCUUCCCUGUUUACAAAACGUUGAGCAAAAUACACUUGUGGCAUAUGA